UCCAGACUCCUACGGGAGGCAGCAGUGGGGAAUAUUGCACAAUGGGGGAAACCCUGAUGCAGCAACGCCGCGUGAGUGAAGAAGUAUUUCGGUAUGUAAAGCUCUAUCAGCAGGGAAGAAGAAGGACGGUACCUGACUAAGAAGCCCCGGCUAACUACGUGCCAGCAGCCGCGGUAAUACGCAGGGGGCGAGCGUUAUCCGGAUUUACUGGGUGUAAAGGGAGCGUAGACGGUUAAUCAAGUCUGAAGUGAAAGCCCGCGGCUCAACUGCGGAACGGCUUUGGAAACUGAGUAACUGGAGUGCUGGAGGGGCAGGCGGAAUUCCUGGUGUAGCGGUGAAAUGCGUAGAUAUCAGGAGGAACACCGGUGGCGAAGGCGGCCUGCUGGACAGUAACUGACGUUGAGGCUCGAAAGCGUGGGGAGCAAACAGGAUUAGAUACCCCGGUA
rnacentral:rRNA from 1 species